rnacentral:rRNA from 1 species
AUGGAAUGGCCGAUUUCUCAGGAGACCAAAAUCUGGUUGCGUGGGGUGUCCACGCUCCCUUCGCAACCAUAUCCACAUAAGGGGAUCAUUGUUAAACCUGUUGGUGUGAGGGCCUUGGUGGUUAUUCCAGAAGGCACAAUCCCGCCACGACAGCCAAGCACCAUCAUUGGAUGUCUUUGUAGGCAUUAUUACCCCGGCCUACUUCCCAUAGGAGACGGUGAGGAGGAGCCAGCUUGGUCUUGGGAGCACUGGAGACGCGCUCCAAAUACGAAAGACAAUUGGGACAGGGAGUACCGCAGUGCUGCUGAGCGGGUGGUCAACGAUUUUUGGGACUUCUUUACUUGCGUUGAGGGUAUGGAGGAUGAAGCUAAUGAGGUCGUGGAGGAGAUUGCCAAGAAGAUUGUCCAAGACAUGCCUUACGAGGCUCGCGUCAAUGCCGUGGUCAAGUAUUUCGCGCAUGAACGCAAGAUGCUUCUUAAAAAGCCGCUAGCCCGGAGAGUGCAUCUCACCCGUUCCAUGUACAUGAAGGCGGUUCCCCCGUGGUGCAACAACAAGAUUCCUUGCUACCAGCAAAUCAUAUCCAGGUGGAUAAACCCAGAGUGGAGGGCCACAUACAGAGCAGCUACGGAGCGACGUGCCUUGAUGGGUGGUCCGGUACACCUUCAAGGCAACCUCAACCUCCAUGCUUAUGUGCAGAAGAAGAAUAGGGAGAGAGGUGAGGGUGAAGAGCCGCUCAAUACCUUCACGGGAUUAUUUCUCUCCCGCAAGUCAAAGAAACCGGAAGGGGGGUGGGUCAACCCAGGGGCUGGAUUGAGGAUUGAUGCAUAUAGUGGGAAGUUCAAGGAGUGCAACGGGCCCGACUCUGAUCCAGCCUCACAGGACAUUGAUGUUACGGUUUCCCUCAAGUCAGGACAAGGCAAGAAGCGUGGACGGUUAUAUGUUGGUGACGGUUCCAUCCGUAAGAAGGACAUUCCAAAACUUGCCGACCUCCGUGCUACCACGUCGAGCUCAGGUCCUGCUAUUGAGCGUCGCCCAGAGCCUGGGCUGCACAUGAUGCAUCAAUUCCAUGCUCGCCUAGAGGAAGAAAGCAGGUUGCGGCAGGAAGAAACCAGGUUGCGGCUGGAGGCUCAGGCCAAUGCCCUACUUCAACAGGAGCAAGCCAUGAAAAUGCAGCAAGCCCUGUUUCAGCAGCAGGAAUUCAUGGUUAAACAGCAGGCAACCCUGCAGGAGACGUUUGCUCGGUUCAAUACUAAUAUGCAUUGUUCUACUUUGCCGGAUCUUCCUCCUAUUCCGCCGCUUCCUACUUUUAGCUUUUGUCCUCGGUCGGGAGAAGGCUCCAAUAACUUUGUGGUAUGUGGAUCUAACCUGCCCAAGCAAGCCCAGUGA